GGUAAUGGUUGAUUGAUGGCAAAAGGAGUGAAACACAUCUAAGAAGAUGAAUAAAAUCAAGUGAGCCACAGAGAUGGCAUCGUCCAAGAGCACAGGCAUGUAUUUUUCUUUUUUCUGCAUUGGGAGUUCAUCCAGAGGCAGUGAGUGAACUUUGUGUCCUGAAACCAGAAUCAGUUGGGAAGAAUGGAACCAAGUCUACCCAAUUAAAAGGCUUACACAGGUCCCCUUCCAGAUGCUGAUGUCUUGGCUUCUGGUGCAAAACUACGUCAGAUUAAUCCCAAGCCUUUGCUGCCGCACAUACUUGAGGGCAUGUCAAAAGUAGAGUUGUACCUCUUGGCAGUCCACUUUCAUACCAGUGUCCCCGUAUAGCUGCAGGUGUUCCUGAUCUUAAUUUCCCCCCACUACCUGUGCUUGGUUUUCAGUUUGGCUGUAAUUUUAAAUUUGUCCAGA